UGGGGAAUAUUGCACAAUGGGGGAAACCCUGAUGCAGCAACGCCGCGUGAAGGAAGACGGUUUUCGGAUUGUAAACUUCUUUUCUUAGUGAAGAAGCAAGUGACGGUAGCUAAGGAAUAAGCAUCGGCUAACUACGUGCCAGCAGCCGCGGUAAUACGUAGGAUGCGAGCGUUAUCCGGAUUUACUGGGUGUAAAGGGCGCGUAGGCGGGGAUGCAAGUCAGAUGUGAAAUCUAUGGGCUUAACUCAUAAACUGCAUUUGAAACUGUAUCUCUUGAGUGCUGGAGAGGUAGAUGGAAUUCCUUGUGUAGCGGUGAAAUGCGUAGAUAUAAGGAAGAACACCAGUGGCGAAGGCGAUCUACUGGACAGUAACUGACGCUGAGGCGCGAAAGCGUGGGGAGCAAACAGGAUUAGAUACC
rnacentral:rRNA from 1 species